GUUUUUGUCGAGCCUGCAACUUUUGUUGCAGAAAGCUCGACAUAGGGAUAGUGAUCCGGCGGCGGCGGCGGUGUUAGCUAACUUCUUAAAAGCUUUAUAUUUUAGAAGAUGGAAGACCUGGAUGCUUCAUACUUUGUAUAUAGAUGCCUCAUGUUACGAAGUUUCCGUCAGUCACAUGUCCAAUGUCCUUGACCUCAUUUUCAUGGUUCAGUGACCACUUGAAAAAAAAAGUUCAGAUUUUUUGAAAUGUUGAAUUCUCUCUUAUUAUAAGUAAUAGGAUAACUAUAUUUGAUAUGUGCGUACCUUGCAAGGUCCUCAUGUCUGUCAGACAGUUUUCACUUGACCUCGACCUCAUUUCAUGGAUCAGUAAACAAGGUUUAAGUUUUGGUGGUCAAGUCCGUAUCUCAGAUACUAUAAGCAAUAGGGCUUGUAUAUUCGGUGUAUGGAAGGACUGUAAGGUGUACAUGUCCAACUGGCAGGUGUCAUCUGACCUUGACCUCAUUUUCAUGGUUCAGUGGUUAUAGUUAAUUUUUUGUGUUUUGGUCUGUUUUUUUCAUACUAUAUGCAAUAGGUCUACUGUAUUUGUUGUAUGGAAUGAUUGUAAGGUGUACAUGUCUAGCGGGCAGAUGUCAUGUGACCUUGACCUCAUGUUCAUGGUUCAGUGGUUAUAGUUAAAUUUUUGUGUUUUGGUCUGUUUUUUUCAUACUAUAUGCAAUAGGUCUACUAUAUUUGUUGUAAGGAAUGAUUGUAAGGUGUACAUGUCUAGCGGGCCGAUGUCAUGUGACCUUGACCUCAUUUUCAUGGUUCAGUGGUCAAAGUUAAGUUUUUGAGUUUUGGUCUAUUUAUCUAAUACUAUAAUUUAAUAGGUCAACUAUA
rnacentral:lncRNA from 1 species